rnacentral:rRNA from 1 species
UACAGAGGGUGCGAGCGUUAAUCGGAAUUACUGGGCGUAAAGCGCACGUAGGUGGCGACGUAAGUCGGGUGUGAAAGCCCCGGGCUCAACCUGGGAAUUGCAUUCGAGACUGCAUUGCUGGAGUACGGAAGAGGAGGGCGGAAUUCCCGGUGUAGCGGUGAAAUGCGUAGAUAUCGGGAGGAACAUCAGUGGCGAAGGCGGCCCUCUGGUCCAGUACUGACACUCAAGUGCGAAAGCGUGGGGAGCAAAAGGG